rnacentral:siRNA from 1 species
ACUCGACCGAACUGAUGUGCA